rnacentral:rRNA from 1 species
UUUUCGGAGAGUUUGAUCCUGGCUCAGGACGAACGCUGGCGGCGUGCCUAAUACAUGCAAGUCGAGCGGACAGAAGGGAGCUUGCUCCCGGAUGUUAGCGGCGGACGGGUGAGUAACACGUGGGUAACCUGCCUGUAAGACUGGGAUAACUCCGGGAAACCGGAGCUAAUACCGGAUAGUUCCUUGAACCGCAUGGUUCAAGGAUGAAAGACGGUUUCGGCUGUCACUUACAGAUGGACCCGCGGCGCAUUAGCUAGUUGGUGGGGUAAUGGCUCACCAAGGCGACGAUGCGUAGCCGACCUGAGAGGGUGAUCGGCCACACUGGGACUGAGACACGGCCCAGACUCCUACGGGAGGCAGC